GGGGUCGUAGGGUAGCCUGGUCCAUCCUUCAUGCUUGGGGUGCAUGAGACCUGAGUUCAAAUCUCAGCGACCCCA
rnacentral:tRNA from 5 species